UGAAGGCCCCAUCUUGGGCCUCCGGACGACGGAUCAGUACCCGGCACGCGACAAGACUGGCCACA
rnacentral:ncRNA from 1 species